AUUGUACGCUGGCGGCAUGCCUUACACAUGCAAGUCGAACGGUAACAGGUCUUCGGAUGCUGACGAGUGGCGAACGGGUGAGUAAUACAUCGGAACGUGCCUAGUAGUGGGGGAUAACUACUCGAAAGAGUGGCUAAUACCGCAUGAGAUCUACGGAUGAAAGCAGGGGAUCGCAAGACCUUGUGCUACUAGAGCGGCCGAUGGCAGAUUAGGUAGUUGGUGGGAUAAAAGCUUACCAAGCCGACGAUCUGUAGCUGGUCUGAGAGGACGAUCAGCCACACGGGGACUGAGACACGGCCCAGACUCCUACGGGAGGCAGCAGUGGGGAAUUUUGGACAAUGGGCGAAAGCCUGAUCCAGCAAUGCCGCGUGCAGGAUGAAGGCCUUCGGGUUGUAAACUGCUUUUGUACGGAACGAAAAGCCCCGGGUUAAUACCCUGGGGUCAUGACGGUACCGUAAGAAUAAGCACCGGCUAACUACGUGCCAGCCGCCGCUGUAA
rnacentral:rRNA from 1 species